UGGUAGGUAUGCGUUAAACGUAUUUACGUAAUAUACGCAUUAAUAAGUGUUGAUCAUUAGGAAUAAUUUUUACAAUGAUAUUUGUGCACUUUUUCUGGUUUUUACUAUUGAUACCAAGAAAGGACACGGUAUAUGUAGGCAAGACGAAUAUUUAUAUGAGAUACAAAAUACUUAAUUUGGAUAAAGAACUGACCUUUGACGCUAUUAUGAAUGUACGUAGAAUCCAACAUUUCACUGAUUCGUAUACAAAUGAUGAUGGCUUCUUCAUUGGACGUUUGAUAUAUAAAAUUCGUACUAAAUAUACAAGAAUGGUCCGCCUUUACAUGCUCUCGUAUAACAACUUUGAAGAAUAUCACCACAAUAAGCACAUUCAUCAAUUAAUGGAAAUUCAACACAUAUCCAUGGAGGUCGAUAGCUUAGUCGAAGUAAUAUUAAAUUACUUAUGGCCGGGAAAGCCAAAACGGCGGCCAAUUGACAAGAUCCUACCACCUGGGGUCGUUUUACCACCAGGCAUCAAAAUACCAAAGCAUAUUAAUGUCGCACGCAAUGGCAGAGUACUUACAACGCGUGGAAAACCUAUACUAUUUCAAGGUAAUCAUAAAAACUAUGAUCAAGCCAUUGUGAAACUUAACAUAGCCGGGAAAGAUCGGGUCGAUGGGAGGAAUACUGAAAAUAAUGGUGGUGGAUUUGAGUCAGAUGUCUACUAAUACACAAUUUUGUACAUCACAUUAUUAUUAUAAAUUACAUUUAUGAUAAUGCAUUGAAUAUCGGUGAUAAAAUACAUUUCUCUACACUACCUGUGUAAUUUUAAGCCCUGUACGAGUGUUACGUCAUUGAUACCACGGUUUAUUUAUUAAAUUUUGACUACUCUACUAAAAUACGAGCACUAGAUUCUAUGACGAAUUUAUUUAUACAAAAGGAAUUAUAUAUGCAUUACCAAU